ACUGAUCCUGGAAGAUCACAUGUUUUACCAGUCACUGCUGAUGAGGCAGAGGUGCUUGGGCCUCUCUUGUUUCUCCUUCCAAAAGCACCUGACAGAUGAACACAAACUCUUUCAAUUAAGAAAUUAAAGGGAAGGAGUACCUGCUAUUCCUGGUUUGAGCAGAGAAGUACUACAACAUCACAGAAUCACAGAAUGGCUGAGGUUGGAAGGGACCUCUGAAGAUCAUCUAGCCCAACCUCCCUGCUGAGCAGGAUGUCCUGUGCAUUGUGCAGGACGGCAUCCAGCUUAUUCUUCACUGGUGCCUCUGAUCAGUGGUUUGCCUUGAGGUCUCCACACUGCUCACCUCUUUCCUCUGCAAAAACCUUUGCCAAUAUGGCUACAAAAUUCAGCCAAUUCAAAGCCUCACAACAUGGCAGAAAACAAAACUAACAAAAUGGAGAAUGAAAGAACAGAGAAACAAAGAUUCAAGAAAGAACAUUGACAUCCAAAGCACAAUUGAAGUGUCUAGAUUAUUAACACAGUCCUCAAAUCCACAUCUGACAAACUUUAACUGACUAUAUGCAUCAUUGUAACUGACUGCACACUGCAAUUUGUAGUUGAAAAGUCUCAAAAUAAGGAUCAUUUCUAAAUUUAGAUCUCAAGAUUUAAUGCACAUCUAAUUCAACAACAGUUACCCAAGAGCCACUAUGUAAUAAUGGACACAGAAUAUUUAAAUUUCAUAGCCUUGUAAGUAUGAAAAAAAUCACACUAGUAAUAAACAUACAAAAAGUCUCACCACAAUCGUGUAAUAUUUACAGUUAAAUAAUAAAUUUACAUAAAAUAUAGGAAAUUAGUAAAAAGGAAUAGCUAAUUAAAAAGGUAAAAUUCUGAUGUAUUUAUACUACCUUAGAAGCUCAGAGCAUUUGUAUUCUCAUUAAAGAAUGCUUGUGAAAGGACAGUCUCUUCAAUUUUUCUUCCCUAGACUUAUGAUUGAACAGCAUAAGUCCAUAUUGGACAGGGAAUUACUAAAAGAAAAAAUGAAAAAAAAAAAGAAAAAAAAAAGAAAAAAAAUGAAAAAAAUAUCCCUCAGAAAUGGGAUAGAGUUUUCCUGAAAACAAAGGAAAGCAAAGCAAAACAAAACAACAACAACAACAAGAAAUUAACUUUAAGUACUUGGGGAGCAAAGAAGUCUGCUAAAGUCUGGGUUCAUCAGUGAAUAAGACCACAAUAAACAAAUAAUCUAACACAUGCUUAUAGAGGAUUUUUUUUUUUAUUUUGUUUUUAAUUUGUGUUCAUUAUGGGGAAGAUCCUAGAGGUACCUUUAUUGCUGAUUUUCUUUAUAGGUAAAACACCUGAGGACUCUACCAGUGUGAACUGGUAAUUGAAGAGACUGAUGUCUAAUAAUUUUAUACCAAAAUAAUAGAAAGUGACAAAUGGGAAAACAGCUGUUAAAAAGGGCUCUUCCUUGCUCCAACAGACCAGUAAUUCUAACUUGAUUAUCAAGAGGAUUGCUAGGAAUUAUAACAAAAAUAAUUAGUAGACAAAAGAGAAAAUAUGAUAUAUUUGGCAAGUAUCAGAACAGCUUUUGUAGAGGAAAGCCAUACUUUGCAAAACUAUGGCAAUUGUCUGAAGUCAAAAGGAUCAUUUGGAUAAUGUUGAUUCAAACUUAUGAACUUGAAUUUUCAAAGAGAGAUAAACAAUAUUAAUGAAAUAGAAUUGUCAUGGGGUAAAAGGGUAAAGCUUCUCCCAGAUUACUUGGUGAAAGAUAGGAAACAAAGGGUAGUGUGAAUAAUAAUUUUUCACAGCAAGGAACCAUCAGCGCUGCAGGGAAGGCUGGGAUUCAUGAAUGCUGUGGAAAAGGUGGUGAGCUGUGAGGUGAUUUUUUGUGUAAUGAUACAGAAUUAAUCAGGAUAGUAAAAGCAUAAGCUGGAUGUGGGGAGUGACAGAACAGUCUCAUGAUAUUGAGCAAUGAAGUGACAGAUGAAAUCAAUGUCAAUAAAUGGAAAGUCAUGCACAGAGAAAAAAAAAACACUCCAAAUUAAUAUUACUACUCUUGAAUACGAUCUUGAAGACCCUGAAAACAUCAAUGAAAUAUUAAGUUAUGUCUUCUGAAAUAAAAAUAAAAAAAAGUCGGAGUAGGAAUUGUUGGGAAAAGACUGAGGAAUUAAAAAAAAACAAAUAGAUGUAUAAAUCCAUAUCUGGACAAUAAAUGUGGUUCUGGGUAAUACCUUUCUAAAAGGUUAUAAUAGAAUUAAAAAGAGAACAGAUAAGGGUGACAAAAAUGAACUGUACUACAGAAUAAUUUCUAUAGAGCAGAGAUAAAGUAGAUAAGACUCUUCAGUUUGGGAAAGAUAUGAUUGGGAGAAAAUGAUAAAGUCUGAUAAAAUAAAAAUAAAAAUUUGGAAAAGAUGAAUACAAAAGAAUUCAGUGGUUUUUAUAGCAUAAGAAUUAAGAAGGCUGAAGAAGCAUAAGAAUUAGGUACCAGGCUUGCAACAAAUAAGAGGAAGCACAUUUUCACACAAUAAUACUGAAAAAGACAUGAGGGAGGUUCAUCUGCAUUUUUUAAAUUGUCGUUGCCGUUUCUGGCUCAGGAAGUCCCAAAGGUGCUGAACUGCAGAAGCUGGGACUCUAUAUCAGAAGAAAGGAUCAUUUUACUAGAUAUAUUUCCUAUAUUCAUUCUCCAUAUAUUCCAUUUUUUCUAAGCAACUAAAUAGAGCUAAGGUAGAGACCCAAAUCUAGAUAAUUUAGCUUUACUGACAGUAGUGCCAUGACUUUUGUCUACAAGGCCAAAAAAUGUCCCUUGGCUUCUUUGUACACUAAUAGAGACAGAGCCUCAGUGCCCACUGUGAUUGUGGUGGGUGAGACAGGAGUUUGGCCCCAUUAGUGCAAUUGUUAUAUUCUAACAUUGGACUCUUUUUUUUUUUUUUUUCCCCACUUCAUAUUAUUAAAAAAAUAAUAAAAGU